AUUGAACGCUGGCGGCAGGCCUAACACAUGCAAGUCGAGCGGAGCGGCGGACGGGUGAGUAAUGCCUAGGCAUCUGCCUGGUAGUGGGGGAUAACGUCCGGAAACGGGCGCUAAUACCGCAUACUAUCAGAUGAGCCUGGGUCGGAGUCGCGAGUUGGUGGGGUAAAGGCCUACCAAGGCGACGAUGCGUAUCUGGUCUGAGGGGAUGAUGAGGCACACUGGAACUGAGACACGGUCACGACUCCUACGGUAGGCAGCAGUGGGGAAUAUGGGACAAUGGGCGAAAGCCUGAUCCAGCCAUGCCGCGUGUGUGAAGAAGGUCUUCGGGUUGUAAAGCACUAUAAGCUGGGAGGCGUUACCAACAGAAUAAGCACCGGCUAACUUCGUGCCAGCAGCCGCGGUAAUAC
rnacentral:rRNA from 1 species